UUUCAGUCACAGACCACCUUGGUCUGUACAGCAAGCUUAAGGCCAGCAUUAGACACUUAGUGAAACUCUGUCUCAAAAGUCAAAGAACAGGGCUGGCUAGAUGGCUCAGUGGUUAAGGGAGCCAACUGCUUUUCUCAAGGUCCUGAGUUCAAAUCCCAGCAACCACAAGGUGGCUCACAACCAUCGGUAACGAAAUCUGAUGCCCUCUUCUGGAGUGUCUGAAGACAGCUAUAAUGUACUUACAUAUAAUAAAUAAAUAAAUCUUAAAAAAAAAAAGUCAAAGAACAGGUGUAAGAGAAAUGAUGGCUCAGAGGCAAAGUGCACUGUCUGCUCUUGUAGACCAGCCACUUUCAGUUCCCAGCACCCACAUGACAACUAACUCCAGUUCCAGCAGAGAUGCCCUUUUUCUGAUAAAUUAAAAAAACAAAACAAAAUAAAAAAACCUUGAAAGCUUACAAACAAGCAUGGUCUAACCUUUUAUUUAUCAUGUAUCCAUAUACACAAUAACCUACCCAUGUGCUUUAUCUGCAAGUAUGUCUGUGUACCACUCCCAUACCUGGUACCCACAGAGGCCAGAAGAGUGUGUUAAGAUAUCCUGGUACUGGGAUUACAAACAGCUGAGCUGUAGGUGUUAGGAAUUGAACCUGGGUCUUAAGAGAGUGGCCAGUGUUCUUAUCUCCUGAGCCCCCUCUCCAGCCCCAAGAGCAAUCUUAUGUUUAGAGGAGUCAACUUACUGGUGCAAGGUAUAAACCCUUAAUACAAAGGUCAGAAACAAAUACAGUUUCAUGGACUCUAAAUUAGGCAAAUUUCUUCUUUCUACUUGGACUCUCAAUUAUUCUUAUAUAAAACAUAUAAUUACCAAAAUAUCAAAAGUACCAUAUGUAAGCUAGAAUUUCUCAUGAUUAAGCAGUCAAAGUGGCCCAUGAACUAUACCUGCUAUUAGAUAUGAAAUAUAGCAACACUAGCCUGUUACUUACCGUUUGGUCAUCUUCUUCUUCUCCCUCUAGUACAACACAGUGGUACAGCAUUCCUGACUCAGUCGCAAUUACUAAGAUAUUUGGAACACAGGGCAAACAGAGUAUAGCACAGGCAUCGUAACCGUAGUUAUCUUCAGCUGCAGGAUGCAUAGGCAGUGGGCCCAACAGCUUCCCAAUAUUCCCUGGGCUAAAGGAAGAAUAAAAGCACUAUCAGGAAAAUGCUCACAGAAGGAGACUGUCCCUACUCUCCUUUCCCAAUCACAUUCCAACGGUGGUGACUCUUGGUCUGAGAUCAUCUCCUUGAAAGGAAAACUGCAGUGCCUGAAGAGAUUCCAGGUUUUUGUUUUGUUUAGUUUCUUUUUUCCUUCCAGACAAAGUACAAAGUAGUCUAGGUUGCCUUAAUUCCUGACCCCCGUUACAGCUUCCAGAGCUAGGAUUCCAAGAGAAUCCAUUAUGCCUUAGAAGACACUAGAUUGUCUGUGAGGCUCGGGGCAAGACUGGUAUCUAUUGUUAGUGGUAAGACUGGAGGUUCCAUCCCUGUAAUUACUACACCACCAGACAAAACAGAGGGACAGAGGGCUGCAUAGACGGCCCAGUGGUUAAGAGCACUGGCUACUCUUGAGGACCUGGGUUCCACUCCUAACACCCACAUGUGGCUCAUAAAUGUUUGUAGCUCCAGUUCCAGGGGAUCUGAUGUCUACUUCUGGCCUCUGCCAGCACUGCAUACACAUACAUACAUUUAGGCAAAACACACAUAUACAUCAAAUAUAGAUAAAUU
rnacentral:lncRNA from 1 species